UGAACUCAUGCACUGGAUUUGGUCCAAGUACAUUUUGUUUCUUGAUUUCCAGCCAGGCUUCUCUCAGUUGUGAUGCAUUCUCUUCUUUGCUUCCCUCCUUCCCCAGUCCUGUUCUCUCUUUUUAUAAUGCUUUCAACUUUUCCAUGUGACUGAACCAACACAGAGGAAAACCCACCAGCUUAGGUAGGGCUUCCACAAGAGUGGGGCCAGAGGGACUUCUUUGUGAACGGCCAGCCCCUCACGCAGCCCCGGCCUGCACGGCGAGGUUUGUCUGAGGCAGCUGAAGCAGAAAGCAUUUGAACUCUGCCCUCUACCAAAUGAUUUCCAGAUGUGUAAACCCCAGCCUCCCGCUGCACUCUGACUGUAGCCCUGCCAACGUACAUCUGCAGAUUCCUAGUGCACAGGAAACUUGAAAGAGUAUCUUUACAACAUCUGCUGUCUUUUCCCAGCUCUCCCUCUCUGCCUUCUCGGACUUUGCCCCGUAUUUUAUAUCCUCUCUUCAACAAAUCCAUUAGAGAACUGCUGCACAGCCCUUCUUGGCUCACAGAUGCCAGCUGUCUGUUUCACCCCAGAGCCUGUUCUUGGCUCUCUCAAGCACCACUAGAAUCAUUGACCGAAGCACCACUAGAAUCAUUAAAGAAGCUUAUUGGGCUCAUGGAGGGGAAAAAAAGGACCAAGUUUUCUCCAUUGGAUUGGUGCCAGUCUACAAGCUGCAAAGGGAGAUUUAGCCAUAAGGAGGUCAGAGCAGAGCCCUAAAGAUGGAAACACGAGUUUGCAUGGAGAGUUUGCCUGCUAUACCUGAGAGAAGGUUUCUCCUGUCUACUUAUGUAUGAAUGACAUCAAACCAAUGAAGCCACUGUGAGAAAUCUGCCACUGAUACAUAAUUAUUUACUUAUAUUACCCAUAAGGAGAACAUUAUCUGUUUCUUAUCCAUUUAAUUAAGAAGAAAGACUACAGAAGAUAUUUGUUUAUUUCUCCUUUACAAAAUGUUUUCUAUCUGGCCAUGGCUAUAAGACAAAUA
rnacentral:lncRNA from 1 species